rnacentral:rRNA from 1 species
GAGUUUGAUCGUGGCUCAGAUUGAACGCUGGCGGCAGGCCUAACACAUGCAAGUCGGGCGGUAGAGAGAAGCUUGCUUCUCUUGAGAGCGGCGGACGGGUGAGUAAUGCCUAGGAAUCUGCCUGGUAGUGGGGGAUAACGCUCGGAAACGGACGCUAAUACCGCAUACGUCCUACGGGAGAAAGCAGGGGACCUUCGGGCCUUGCGCUAUCAGAUGAGCCUAGGUCGGAUUAGCUAGUUGGUGAGGUAAUGGCUCACCAAGGCGACGAUCCGUAACUGGUCUGAGAGGAUGAUCAGUCACACUGGAACUGAGACACGGUCCAGACUUCUACGGGAGGCAGCAGUGGGGAAUAUUGGACAAUGGGCGAAAGCCUGAUCCAGCCAUGCCGCGUGUGUGAAGAAGGUCUUCGGAUUGUAAAGCACUUUAAGUUGGGAGGAAGGGCAGUAAAUUAAUACUUUGCUGUUUUGACGUUACCGACAGAAUAAGCACCGGCUAACUCUGUGCCAGCAGCCG